UUAAAUUGAAGAGUUUGAUCAUGGCUCAGAUUGAACGCUGGCGGCAGGCCUAACACAUGCAAGUCGAACGGUAACAGGAAACAGCUUGCUGUUUCGCUGACGAGUGGCGGACGGGUGAGUAAUGUCUGGGAAACUGCCCGAUGGAGGGGGAUAACUACUGGAAACGGUAGCUAAUACCGCAUAACGUCGCAAGACCAAAGAGGGGGACCUUCGGGCCUCUUGCCAUCGGAUGUGCCCAGAUGGGAUUAGCUAGUAGGUGGGGUAACGGCUCACCUAGGCGACGAUCCCUAGCUGGUCUGAGAGGAUGACCAGCCACACUGGAACUGAGACACGGUCCAGACUCCUACGGGAGGCAGCAGUGGGGAAUAUUGCAC
rnacentral:rRNA from 1 species